GCCUAGUUAGCUUAGUUGGUAGUGCGUCUGCCUUGUAAGCGCUAGGCCGCGGAUUCGAUUCCCGCCCGGGGCU
rnacentral:tRNA from 1 species